CCUACGGGAGGCAGCAGUGAGGAAUAUUGGUCAAUGGACGAGAGUCUGAACCAGCCAAGUAGCGUGAAGGAUGACUGCCCUAUGGGUUGUAAACUUCUUUUAUAUGGGAAUAAAAUGUUCCACGUGUGGGAUUUUGUAUGUACCAUAUGAAUAAGGAUCGGCUAACUCCGUGCCAGCAGCCGCGGUAAUACGGAGGAUCCGAGCGUUAUCCGGAUUUAUUGGGUUUACAGGGAGCGUAGGUGGAUUGUUAAGGCAGUUGUGAAAGUUUGCGGCUCAACCGUAAAAUUGCAGUUGAAACUGGCAGUCUUGAGUACAGUAGAGGUGGGCGGAAUUCGUGGUGUAGCGGUGAAAUGCUUAGAUAUCACGAAGAACUCCGAUUGCGAAGGCAGUUCACUGGACUGCAACUGACACUGAGGCUCGAAAGUGUGGGUAUCAAACAGGAUUAGAUACCCCGGUAGUC
rnacentral:rRNA from 1 species